ensembl:lncRNA
UUGCACAAGUAUUUGUUUAUUACAGCACUGUUUCCUCAAGAUGUGACUCAUACAAUUGUAUGCACACUACAGCAAUGCCUACAUGUUGACAAACAAAACAUGGAUACACUGAUUCCAUACAAUUCCAAGACACCGUUUACAGGCGCAGCACCCGCGUACUUCAUACAAUUCCAAGACACUGUUUACAGGCACAGCACCCGCGUACUUCAUACAAUUCCAAGACACCGUUUACAGGCACAGCACCUGCGUACUCCAUACGUUUUAAGGCAUGGUUUACAUAUAACACCUAUGUCAGACUCACAAGACAAAGGUCACAAAGCCUCUGCAUCCCAUAAAUGAUAUUACAUUUACACUAACAUUGUGUACUGCAACCCACCUCAACAGCAGAGCAGGUCUCAGCCCACCUGAAGUAAAUGCAAGCCUCAGACUGGCCGGGAAGGAGUGCAAAUGGGCUCCGAUGGCCUUGGGCGUUGGUUACGGGGUUGGGUUAGCCCUGCGGUACAAACAAACAAAGCAAAGCUAACCCAACGCCGUAAGCAAGGCAAAGCUAAAGCCAAUUUGGUUGAGAUCAAUUGAUUGCAAAGCUAAAGCCAAUUUGGGCAAGAUAAAUUGACUGCACCUGCCAAAAUCAGCGCAACUCUCAAAAUGGCCGCAAAGGGGCGCGAGUCUCAGACUGGCCGGGAAGGAGUGCAAAUGGGCUCCAAUGGCCUCGGGCGUUGGUUACGGGGUUGGGUUAGCCCUGCGGUACAAACAAACAAAGCAAAGCUAACCCAACCCCGUAAGCAAGGCAAAGCUAAAGCCAAUUUGGCUGAGAUCAGUUGAUUGCAAAGCUAAAGCCAAUUUGGUUGAGAUCAAUUGACUGCAAAGCUAAAGCCAAUUUGGGCAAGAUAAAUUGACUGCACCUGCCAAAAUCAGCGCAACUCUCAAAAUGGCCGCAAAGGGGCGCGAGUCUCAGACUGGCCGGGAAGGAGCGCAAAUGGGCUCCAAUGGCCUUGGGCGUUGGUUACGGGGUUGGAUCAAAUUAUUUGUAAAGCUAAAGCCAAUUGGGUUGAUGCAAAAUGACUGCACACGCUGAAAUCAGUGUGACUCUCAGCAUGGCUGUGAGUCUCAAACAGCCUGGAUGGAGUGUGAAUGGUCUCUGUCCAGCUACAGGAUGUCAGUUACAGGAUUAGGGUCAGCCACGGUAGCAAACUCAAAGCAAAGGUGACCCAACCCCAUGAGUGAGGCAAACCCUUUGAUGUGCUAUCCCUUAAAAUUCUCUGAAAGAUUGCAGCCGGCUACUUGGACGGGUACAUUGCUUGCUAGAUGAAGAACUAGCUGAACUGCCUGGCCUAAUGAGUGCUGCUCAAUCGUGUUAAAUGCAGCUGGUAUGCCAUCCUGAGUGCUCUUCAGGCCUGUUCUGUCCAAUAUCGUCAUUGAAGACCUGCCUGAUGGCAUGGAGUGCACCCUUGGUAAGUUUGCUGAGGGCGUUGC